CCCGCCCUCCCCGCGAGUGUCGCCCUGGCGGCGGAAAGAGACGCGGACCGACGGGAAGGCGUUUGCGUAUAGUCGUUUUAAUGAGGGAUGCGUUUAAAACUGCCAAGCGGGUAGCGUCGCGCUCGCAAAGCGGCCGGCUGUGCAGCGGGCGGGCCGGGCGCGGCAGCUCCUCACAGCCGGCAGCCUCUGAUCCACGCCUGGACGUCGGUGCCCUUGCAGCGGUUGCGCCAGGCGACCCUGGGCGGAGGGAGACGGAGCGACUUUCAUAGCCAGAACUGUGCUGUCACCAACAUGGAAGAAAUGAAGAUCUUCGCUAACUCCUGCUUUGCAAUUCAGAAUUAUUAUUUCCAAAUACCAGUAAAGAAAUGGGUGACUCCAUGGUGGUCAAACAGAAAUAUUCCCAGCUAGUUCCUCAUUCUCCUGCCAGUAGUCAUAGUCGUCUGCCAACUGCAGAUGUACCAUAAUUAAGAAGCUUAAGAAGAAGAUCCUUCCUGGAAGUCCUAUAAAAAUGAACUGUUGUUUCAGUGUGGGAGUGUGCAGCACCUGCUCAAACAGGAGCUGGAUUCCUUCAGCGGCAGUGGUUAUUCACUUUCAUGAUGGGCAAGGUGUUUCCUCCUGCUGCACCUUGAAGACAUUUGUUCCUGUUUCCGAGGGUUCUGACUAGUACUGCCUCGGCCAGGAACAGCUUUCAAAAGCUGCAUUCAGAGAAGCCUGAAAUUGUAUACACAGUUUCUGAUUCUCCUUCAGACCCUGAGAUUAUGAACAUUUGGGACUGCAUCCUUUAUUUUGCAAGUGUGACAACUCCUCCCAUGCCAAGAAGAGCACUUUUCUUUUUCUCUGGUAUUCAAAAUGUUCCUGACAGCAGGAAGAAAAAAUAACAAAGGCAAUUCUACAUUCAUACACACACACCCUCCUAAGUAGCAUGCAUGAUCAUUGAAGGAAGAUCUGGCCUUGGAGCUGAGGGUACAUUCCCACUAUGUGUUCCCUCCUGAUCCGGAGGUUCUGACUUGAAAUCAUAGAAAAAUAAAGAUGUCAGUGACCACAUUUAAGCAUCCGGGAGGCAUCAGUCAGGCCAAAGGUUUGAUGAUGUGAAGAAGAUGAGCAACUUUCCUCAGCUUGGGAUGAUCCUUCUGAUGGGCUGGUGAAGGCCGAGGUGAUGCUAAUGAGCAGGCAGCAUGGGACCCACUGUUACUGCCCCAGCAUCCGUCAGCUGGGAGCAUCCCUCAUCUUGGUGUGCGAGUGCCAUCGCUGUCUGGAUAGCAGAGCACCUACAGCAGCAAGUGUUACUUUGCUGUCUCCUAUUUUAGCAUCUUACCAUAGUAAACAGCAAGAACUGCCAUCAUGAUUCUCCACGCAAUUCACCAGAAAAGUUACCUAUGACUUAUCUUACAAACCAAGGACUGCAAGGUGGCCUUGGCAGACAGCCUCUCUGGCUUGGGGCGUGCCUGUAUAAAUCAGGCAAAACUGUCUGACACAGCUUUAUUAUUUCUUAAUUCUAUUGAGCUACACAACCCUUCAGCUGUCUCUCCCUUGAUGGCAGCCUGCCCCACAAGUUCUUGUUUGGGCUUCUCACAUUUUGUUUAUUGGCUGAAGAGAAGUAAUAAAAAAGGAAUCUCUUUUCUUGUGAUGGGCAGCUGGGCAGAUUGCCAAGGUUAUAACGGAAGUAUGACAGUAAAACCAUGUGAAGGACACAGAGACACUGUGGAAAUCCCAGCAAAAUAUGUGCGUGUCUGUGUUAUGUCAAAGUAAGUACAUAAUAGAAGUAAUAAAAUGCAUAAACUUGUCAGUGACGAAGUUCUAGUAAUUUAUGGCUCACCUCAAACAAGAAGAACUGGUAAGAAUAUUGAAUGGCAGAAAGCUUUCAGCUAGAUGUUCUUUGCAAGACUGCUGAAAAUCCUGUUCCAGUGGCAUCAACAGAACAAGAUGACACUGAAGAAUUAAAUGGCUGCUGAAGCAAACACAAAAAUAGGCCUGUAUUUGUCAAAGAUACAAGCUGGGAAAGGAUGGAGGACAAGGAAGUUGUACAGGAACAACUGGGUGAUCUAGAAAAUGGUGCAGUCAGAACAGAGCAGAGCUGAAGCACAUCAGAACCCCCAGGGUCUCUGCAGAUACAAAAGCUUACCCCAAAAGGUAACUGAUCCCAAAUACAGGAUUUAUGGGAGGCCGCAGCUUGGAAGGUACUUGCAGCAAAUUGACUAUGUGCUAAUACUGCCAUGAAAACCCUACUGAGAUGGCACUAGGAAUUCUGCAUGUAUUUUUGUUAGAGGAAUACAUAUUCUGUCCUGUUACAGGAAACAUGAACUGAAAUGUAUAUAUGCAAGAAUAGGGCAGGUAGGUGUAACACAGUCUGUCCUAAAGAAUGGAAGUCUCCUGAAACAAGCUUACAGAAGUGAGGGCAGAAGUAUUAACCAGGAAGUGUGGGUUCUGGUGGAUGAAAAGCUUGACACAAAUCAGCAAGGGGUCUGGGAGCCUGAAAGGCCAACAGUACCCUGGGCUGCAUCAAAACAGGGGCAGCCAGCAGGGAGGGGUAAGCGAUUGUCCCCAUCUGCUCUGCCUUUGUAAGGCCCCAUCUGAAGUACUGCAUCCAGACCUGGGGCUCCACAAGAAAGCCGUGGAACUGUUGGAAUGGGUCCAGAGGAGGGCCACUAAGAUGAUCUCCUACGAAGACAGGCUGAAGGAGCUGGGCUUGUUCAGCCUGGAGAAGAGAAGGCUGUGGGGAGACCUCACUGCAGCCUUCCAGUACUUCCUGCUUAUAAGCAGGAGGGAGACCAAUACACAUUUCUUGGACAGAUAGCAACAGGAAAAAGAGGAAUGGCUUUAAACUAAAAGAGAAGAGAUUUAGAUUAGAUGUUAAAAGAGAAUUCUUUACCCAGAGAGUGGUGAGGCCCUGGCACAGGCUGCCCAGAGAAGCUGUGGGUGCCCCAUCCCUGGAGGUGCUCAAGGCCAGGCUGGAUGGGGCCCUGGGCAGCCUGAGCCAGUGGGUGGCAAGCAGCCCAUGGCAGAGGGUUGGAAAUGGAUGAUGUUUAAGGCCCCUUCCAAUCCAAACCAUUCUAUGAUUCUAGUUGUUCUGAAUGCCUUAAGGGGUUAAACACAGUGGGGAAGGAAAUAACUAUAUAGAGAACAAUAUUGGUACCAGGUCAAAUUAACGUAAUGUGGCCUAGAAAAAAUUCAGGCUGCAUCUUUGGUUUGUAACCGUGGGAGCAGUGAAAUAGUGAGAUAGCCUUCCAGGAGGAACAGCAGGAACAAAAACCCCAGAUAGACCCUAUUUGGUCUUAAGAUGAGUCUCAGAAGGGGUUAUAAGAUGCGGUUAGCUGUCCCAGCAGGAGACUGAACUUCUUACCCCAGGCUGUAUUCUACAGCUCUCAGCAUUUUCCUGUGGCCUUGCAAGGAAGAACGUAAAGCUAGAAGACCCUCUUCAUCCCACCAGCCUCCUUCACCUUUAAUUUGCUGUGUUGGAUGUGAAUUGUCAUAGAGAAGACUGAUACGGAAGAACGAAAAAUAAAUAAGCUUCCAUAUUUUUUUAGACCUCACACAAAGAUUUGAUCACCACGAGAAUCCUACAGUAAUGGAUUCAUUGUUUGAACGUUCACUUGACUGGGAUUACCAGCAUGGAGACAUGCUUAGGAGAAUGAGGAGAGAAGGAAAAAAGAAGUGGCCUAACUAGAAAAACUGUCACCAAACACACGCUCUACGCAUUCUGAAACAAAGGAAAUUGCACCAAGUGCUGUCAUUUCCAAAGCAGUUGCCCUCAGAGUCACAAGCAGGCCGUGGCAUAGUGCCAGCAGGGGCCGGGGGGGAAACCACUGCCAGAACAAAAGCAGAAUGAAAAUAAUCUGCAUCAUGAGAUGAUGGGGUUGUUGGAGCUGGACUGUGUUAUGCAGGCUCGCCGCUGCAGCGGAGGAUGGGGCUGUGGAUUACCUGGAGAUUGGCAGCUCUUAUCCUGAGACAGGAGUGGUAGGAAAUGCAAGUGCUGAAAUAAGUGGGGGUAUACCAGAAACCAAAAACUACUACACAUUCAUUCCAGAAUUGUGGUUUUAAAUUUGCCAACUUUUUCAAGUUAAAAAGUGAUGGGAACGUUUUUAUUGUUCUUAAGGGGAUUCCCUAUAAUCUCAGAGGAGUUGAUCUCACAUGAGCUGUGCGCGAGAAUUCCCACUCAGGCUUCUUCCAACCCCAAAAGAACCAAAUGGGGUGGGGAAGAGGUGGCUGACCCCACGUGUUAAGCACAGCUGGGGGUAGCACAAACCUGGCUGCGCUGUGCCACCAUCCCUCGUGCUGGCCCUGCUGGUUAUAGUGGCUAUUCAUUUAAUUUGGUGGUAAGGCCUUUUUGUUUUUGACAGCUUGCCAGUUCUCUAAAUAAAAGACUUGAGUUUAUAUAAGCUUUCCUUUGUUCCUCGGUAAUACACCCAACCCCCUCUCAUUUCCAAAUCUAAGCCAGUUAUUGACAUAAUUAAAAACCAAAAUGCUGGAAGAGGUGAUAACGUAGACAUGUUUUAUUUCCAAAUUCUUUUUUUCUUUCCAAACCGCUGAAUGGAACAGUCAGGGGGUAACGUAAAACCAGGAGGGCACAGUAGGGAUCCCACAUGACAGGAAAAGAAAGAAUUUUUGUGAAGCAUUGUCCCAUUACUGCUGUGAGAGAAACCCCAAGGAAAUGGCACUGCACUCCAGCUGAGAUGGCAGGCAGCCAGCGGGGAGCUUCAGCUGCUAUGGAGAACUUAUACUUACGCAGAGCUCAGAAUCGUUUUUCUUGUAGAGAAAAAUGGUACUCGCUCACCUGGUUUUAUGGCUGCUAAUAAAACACUGACCUUCUCCGACCUCAUUUGAAGUAGUUUGUGUAUUUAAAAAAAAUGUCCACCACACAAUUCAUGCAUUAUUUCCAUCAGUUUCUUCGGCAACACUCCGUUGGUUGUUCUGAAUCGGUCUCCAUUUUUACUACUCCUCCAUCAGUGGUCUUUGAGAAAGUGGGAGCUGCCGACCUACAUGCUGCAGAGUCCAGACUAAAUAACUUAGGAAUGCGAGAAUGCAGUUUUAAUUACAUUCGUACUCCAAUUAAUGUUUUGAGGUUGGAGCCCAAGUUCCUUACAGCUUGAUCCAUGAAUGAGGAUCCUGUUUGGGAUGAAUGGUGCCCGUUUUAAUCCCCUUUCACCGGGGCAGAGCUGUAACACACCCAGGCAGAGCCACAUACUUUCUAAGCUUGCAGUGGGGGUGGCUGUUUGUCUGUCAGAAAUAAACUGACUGCCAAGAAGGAAAAGAAGUAGCAGGGAACCUAGGGAAUCUGCUUUAAGCACCAGUUCCACCAUCAGUUGCAAAAUAACUGCAACUCCGCAGAGCUCCUUGCUUUCAGAGGCAAACGCUGCCCGUUCCUCAGAGAAACCCACCCACCUUUGGCCAUUAUUCAGAGGUGUGUUCAUCAGAGAACUGCGGCCAACAUCUUCUCUUCCUUCUCUUUCACUCUAAGAGCAUUCACUCUAAGAGUAGGAAGACACAAACUUGAGAGCAGCGCACUCCAAAGAUAUUUGAAAUAAUGCCCAGAAUGUAAGGCAGGAAGACUAUUUCGUGAGGUGUCAAAGCCAGGAGAAAAUCCUUACUUAGCAGGAAAAAGGGAAAGAAGCAACUGCCAUCUUCUCAAACUUGGGGCGGCUGGGGAUUAUCACAUCUGUUUCUUCUGACCAAGUAACGAAGAGACAGGUAUGUCAGAUAUGACAGAUAUGGGAUAAGUGACAAAUGCGUGGAUGUGGAAUGCAUGGAUGUGGAUGGAAAAGGACAAGCAAGUGCAUCAGACAUGUAACAAGAGCACUCACCUAUCCAAGGCCUCAUCACUCAAACAAGUGUUUAGAAGCAGCAGUUUCAGAAGAUCUCAUUAAACGUGUUACCCUCUCAACUACUCAGCUUUCAAUCUCUUGCAACUUUAUUUUAAAUUGGCCAAUUCGCUACACUCCCUCACAAAAUAUAUAUUUGAAGUACAGGCUUUACAAACCAAAAUAGUGCCCAACACCUCCUUUCAGGCUUCCCUUGUGUCUAAAUCUCAAAACCAAACGCCAAACAAAACCCACCAAAGAAACACGCACUUCGCGGGCAGAGCCCUAGGCAGAGAAGCUUGUUCCCGCCUCUAGGUGGCAGGAGGGGCCUGUCACACUGCCUGGGGGCUUCUGCACCUUUUCUACCAUGUUUACCACUGCUUUAUUCUCAUGGGGCAGCCGGUUUUGCCUUUGUGUUUUCUUCUUUUUUAAAACCCAUUUUACCUUCAGACUAUGGCAUAGAGUUAGCUCUCUUUUUCUGAGAGCAGUCUGCCUGCAGCAACAGGUAGUGGACAGGAGGCUUCGACAUCAGUUCCACUCUGCUGCACAGUGCUGGGGGAAGAAGCAAAGACAAUGACCUGCUGAAGCUUGGACUUGAGCAGAAUCUUUCCCUCCAGCUCACCACAGGCUAUGGGCCUUGCAGGUGCUGCAGAAGACACCAGAAGCCAGGCAUCAAAGCUCUUGCAAGUAGAAUUCAGCAAGAAAGUUCUCCUAGCACAUGCUCCUGAAUUAUUUCCUUGUCUCUGCUCAAGGGGUGCUACUUUCCCAGACUGCUUUAUGUGGAGGGAAAACAUAUGAAGACUGCUUACCUUCCUCGCUCUUCUGAUACCGCUUCCAAUCAUAGCUUGAUGAUCUGGUGUCGUUAGAUGAUCUACCCUUGAAUGCUUCCACUGUGAAUUCAUCCAUAUAUUACUGAACCCACACUGUGUUAAUCUUCAAGAGUACACACCCUACGUAUUUGCAGAUGAGACGUUUGCAACACAGUACUUAAAAAUAGUUACCCACACUUUUCCCUGUGCUGCCCACCCCAAGCUCAGCUUGGAGUCCCCACAGUCCCCCCAGCCACAGCCCAGCACUCCUUCCACCCAUCCCAACCUUCACCUGGCCUCUGAAGCCAGGCUAUAGUCCAUGCUCAAUAGUGGAGAAGCCAGGUUAGCUGCGAAACUGAGACAUAAUGCAGUAAAUAACCAGUGGCCAAGUUGCCUGCCACCUUCAAUUUGGAAGCAUUAAAGCUGGAGCCCUUUCAAGGAAUCGGGUGUUACUUUCCUCACUACAGAUUUAGAACACUAGCCAAAGAAAUCCAGGUUCACUUUCUCCUGAGCGCACUGUCUCUAUUUCAUGGACCUGUGCCCUUGCUUAACUUCAUUCAUUCCAAAAUGAAGUUUAAGUAAGAUGAAGAGUGCUGUGCUUCUUCAUGCCAAUCAGACUGCAUUUCAGAUUCAGAAGCUAUGCAGUCUAGAAAACAAUAUAUUUCCAAAUGAAAAAAAAAAUCUGAUAAAAAGUUGACUUUAAAAAAGUAUCAAUAAAUGUAUGCAUUUCUCACUAGCCUUAAACUCUGCAUGAAGUGUUUGAUGAGCAGAUGAAGACAACAUCAUUUCUAGUUUCAGAAAUAAUAACAGCAUCAAAACCGCAGCUGUAACUCCACUGAGCUCACGUUAAGUUUUGAUGUCUGAAUAUCUGACAGAACUGACAUAAUGAGCACUGCAAGGAUAUCAGACAAGUCAAAAUGAAGACAGACAAAAGUAUUUUUUAAUAUAAAAAUGGUCUUUAUUUCUUCAAUACAAGGUAAACUACUAUUGCAGUUUAAGACCAACACAAAAGUUGGACAGCAAAUUGCUUAACAGUCUCCUAAAGGCUGAAAAAAAGGAACCCAUGAAAGCUAAAAGUUAUGCAGUAUUUCAAGUAUAACAUCUAAAAAUGAUGAAACGAUCCCUAAAGGUAGAGAUUAACUAAGAACUUCUGCUGAAAAUGUAUUAAAAUCCGCAGUUGCUAGGAUACCAUCUUACCUUGUUGAGAAAUACAGGUCUCCGGCAACACAACAUUCAGCAGACUCUUUGGCCUGCUGGAAUCAGGAAACUGCUUACUAUAUACACAUAUAAAAUCCUUUGGAGUUGGGCAUUCUGAGAGACAUCCAUUUCCUGACAUUUUGCAGUGCAACUCUGCAUUCCAACUCAGACAAGCUCCCAUGCUGUAUUUCAAAGCCAUUUCUUGAAUAGUUUACCCAGACAUCCUUGUGCAAAUUGGGAAUGAGGAAAUGCAAUGGUACAGGAAGACAAUACAGCCUUAUGUUUAGAAAGUCAGCAGCGCUGGUAAUCUUCAUAAAAAUGUAACUGUUUACCAAAUAGGAAUGUAUUUCACUUGUAAAACACCUGGUCCUUUUUAUAUUACUUUUUUUUUUUUUUUUAAGGACACCUGCACUAAUUUGCAAUCACUUGUAUUUAUAAAAGCACACGCACUCCUCAUUUUCUUACAUUUGAAGAUCAGCAGAAUGUCUCUUUCAUAAUGUAAUAAUCAUAUGCACAGUUUAAAAUAUUUUCUAUUACAAAAUACAGUACACAAGAGGGUGAGGCCAAAGUCUAUUACUUGAAUAUAUUCCAAAGUGUCAGCACUGGGGGUGUAAAAUUACAUUACAUGGUAUGAAUAGGCGGAAUUCUUUUACAACUGAAAUGCUCGAUUUCAUUGGGAUCAAAGGUAAGUACUGUUUACUAUCUUCAAGAGACUUCAAUCAAGUCAGUGUAUUUCCAAAGAAGCUUUAAAAGAUUGAAGCACAGACACAGGCCACACCAGAGCCUACACCUGCUGCAAUAAGUGGUGCUAUAGAAAGGAUUCAGGAACUAACAAGUGCAUAAUUUACAAAUAGAGAUGCUUUAUCAUACUUUGCCCAACA